UUUCUACUCCUUUCGUCCGAAUAUACUUGUCGAAGAAAUAGAUAAAAAUGGAUAUAUCUAAAAUUAAAAUAUAUCUAGAUACAUCCAUUACUUCGAUAAGUAUUUGAAUGGAGGAAGUAUAUG
rnacentral:pre_miRNA from 1 species